UGGGGAAUAUUGGACAAUGGGGGAAACCCUGAUCCAGCAAUGCCGCGUGUAUGAUGAAGGCCUGCGGGUUGUAAAGUACUUUCGGUGGGAAAGAAAGCCUUGAGGGGAAUAUCCUCAAGGGUUGACGUUACCCAUAGAAGAAGCACCGGCUAACUCUGUGCCAGCAGCCGCGGUAAUACAGAGGGUGCGAGCGUUAAUCGGAGUUACUGGGCGUAAAGGGCGCGUAGGUGGAUAUUUAAGUCAAGUGUGAAAUCCCCGGGCUUAACCUGGGAAUGGCAUUUGAUACUAUUUGUCUAGAGUAUGGUAGAGGAAAGCGGAAUUCCCGGUGUAGCAGUGAAAUGCGUAGAUAUCGGGAAGAACAUCAGGGCGAAGGCGGCUUUCUGGACCAAUACUGACACUGAAGCGCGAGAGCGUGGGGAGCAAACAGG
rnacentral:rRNA from 1 species